rnacentral:rRNA from 1 species
CCUACGGGUGGCAGCAGUGGGGAAUAUUGGGCAAUGGGCGCAAGCCUGACCCAGCAACGCCGCGUGAAGGAAGAAGGCUUUCGGGUUGUAAACUUCUUUUCUCAGGGACGAAGGAAGUGACGGUACCUGAGUAGUAAGCCGCGGCUAACUACAGACCAGCAGCCGCGGUAAUACGUAGGAGGCAAGCGUUAUCCGGAGUGACUGCGUGUAAAGGGCGGGUAGGCGGGACUGUAAGUCAGAUGUGAAAGCCACGGGCUCAACCUGUGGACUGCAUUUCAUACUGUUGUGCUUGAGUACUGGAGAGACAGACAGAAUUCCACGUGUAGCGGUGAAAUGCGUAGAUAUGAGGAGGAACACCAGAGGCGAAGGCGGUCUGUUGGACAGGAACUGACGCUCAGGUGCGAAAGCGUGGGGAGCAAACAGGAUUAGAUACCCUAGUAGUC